AAACCUAUCUUUAAAAUUCUAACCCUAAUUUAUCUAUUUUCCAGCCGUCAUAUCUUCUCCACCUCUUCUUUCUAACCCAAACACUUUCCUUCUCCUCCAUCAAUUCUUUUCCACCCAAAUAUUUUCCUUCUCCACCUAUUUUCUGCAUAGAUUAAUAGAUUUUAUGUCAAAAACCUCCAUUUUAAUGAUUAUGUGUUCUAUCAGAGGUGGUAUUCUUCGGCUUUCCGGUCGCCGGAGUUCGAGUUGUCGUUGAAAAAAACUUAUUUGGCGUUUUUAUACAAGAUGCCGUCCAUCAAAAGCUUAUUUUAUAAGGACUAUCAAUUUUUUCAGUAGAUCUAUGAGUAAAGGAGCUAGAGAGAAAAACAACAAUAUUUUACAUUUUCGAUUUAGAUUUGUUGAGAAAAAUUGUAAUAUUUUGCAUUUUAGUUUUAGAUUUGUUAAGAAAAAUGUUAAUUAUACUACAUUCAGUUAAUGUAAUUAAUCAAAAUUAUUUAAUUUUUAUAUUUAGAUCUCUGGUAA